rnacentral:lncRNA from 1 species
GCAUCCUCCCUUCCUGACCUGCUGCAGGGCCGCCUGGAGCUCAGGCCUGCUCAGUGUCCACACCCCGCCCCCGAGGCGUGCUGCCCUCCAGGGCUGUGCAGAAACCUGGGUCUCUGCACCAUGGGCAGCUCCUGCAGCUCCUGCUGCUGUGCUUCAGUGUUUGCUCCAGGACACCGUGGUCUUGGCACCAGCCAACACAGCUGCAUGAUGCUAUGAACUAUCAGCCCCUGCUCAGGGCUUGCUGCUGCAAGAAGUCGAGGGCCUCUCACCUCCCCUGGGAUCUGUUGGGCAGGAAGGCACCGAGGCCCCAUGUUCUUGCCAUGCAUGUGGCAGGAGUUGGUGCUUCUGCUUGGCCACUUGGUGACAGGAUGCCCACUGGCUUUCUCCAUGGUGAGAACCACAGCAUCUUCAUUGUCUGAAGGGGGCUGGGCCCCAAGAGCUGCCAACCACCUGUCCUGGGAGACUAGGCUGUCUCUGCACCCUCCCCACAGGCCUGGGAGGCAGGCUCGGAAUGAAGCAACCCUGCAGGAAGGGCAGAGCUGCUUCCACACCACAGGCUGGGCCAACACCUGGUGCUGCCAGGGUUGAGCGGAGCAGGGUGGCUGGAGGAGAGUGGCUCUUAAAUGAGCUGGAGACCUACUGGAUGGGUGCACACAGGGAUCCUUUCAUCUAGCACCCACCAUCCUUCUAUAAGUCAUCUGUCCACCCACCCAUCACCCGUCCACUGUCCAUCCACCCACCCUUUGCUGCGUGCUCCUUGAGUGCGUACUUCUCUAGGCCUGUUGGAAACAGGAUGGACCGGGGCCUACCCUCAUGUUGACUCUAGGACAAGGGGCUACUGUUAGCAUUCCUGUGUGACACCGUGUCCGCACCAGUCCUGGGAAGGAAGAGAGCCAAGUAGGGGUGGAGUGUGACACCUGGUGUUGGGGAAGUCCACGAGAAGGUUCAGGAGAGCCCAGGUAAGGAGGCCAGACCUCGGGCAUCCAGGGGAGCCCUCCAGCAGGGCCGAGUCCCUUGUGGGAGAAGGAUCAGCAGGACCUCAGUGGGCCCGAAGAAGGGGCCACAUGGGCCUGAGGGGUCAGGAGGUUGGAUAUUUAGAGCAGCACUGGGGAUCGGAUCCAGGGGUGCUCUAGAACGGAGCUACACCCCAGCCCUUUUUAUCUUCUAUUUUCAGAUAGAGUCUUGCUCAGCUGUUGAGGCCAGCCUCGGCUUCCCGAGUCAUUGGGAUUACAGGCGUGCUCCACUACACCUGCCACUGAUGGGGUCUGGGCAGUGGAGCCUGUGAUGGGGAAUGGGGGACCGGGCGACCCCUGUGUGUUCUGCUGCAGUUUCCAGGGACACUGGGAAUUUCAUUAGAAUGGUAAAUUUGGGGUCUGAGGCCUCCAAGCUUUGGGUGGGGCAGGGUACAUCUAGCCUUAACCUGACCGUAUCUGUUCCCCUUGCCCGUAGACAACACAUUUGACACCAAAAUUACUGGGAAUUGAGAGGCCACCACCCCCAGUCAUGCCUACACAUGGCUUCACUGCAGAAAGCUGGCACCCACCUGUGUUGGGGGGUCCUUGUGUACCCCACCUCUCUGCCACCCUAGACAUCCCAAAGUCCCAAUAUCCAGUUGCAGGGCAUCCUGAGAGACAAGCAAACAAGGGUGCCCCUUCCCCUCCCUAGAGACAGCUUGGGCUGCAGGUUCCUGGGGUGUUUCAGCUGGAACAAGAAGCACAGGAAGGUCUGGGCCUUCCAACUGGAUUGAAUUGGGCCACCUGUCAAGUUUAGGAAUGUGUUUGACACCUGUGGCCACCAGGAUAGAGCUGACCUACCUGCCUAGUGGCAAAACACAAGAAACUGGUCCCUGUUGCCAUUGAGAAGCCACUAAAUAAACCCCUCCUGGUGCUGCCCUGCCUCUGGAGUAGCCAGUAAUAAAAAUCCCCAAACUGAAGUGCAAAAGAGGAUCUGUUGGCUCAUGUAACUGACAAGUCAAUGAGGAGGUCUAACUUCAGGUGUGGCUUGAUCCAGGUGCAACUUGAUCCAGUUGCUCAUGGGAGCCCCUGGUCUCAGUGCUGCCCUUUCCCACUGGCCACAUUCUUUCAUGUAGCACCAAGGAUGCACC